CCCCAAACCAACGCCGCAGCCGCAGCACCUUCUCCCUCUCUCUCCCCACCUCCUCCACCUCCUCCACCUUCAAGCGCCGCCGCCACCCACCGCCGGCCUCCACCCUCUCCCCCACAACCGGCGUUCUCGUCUCCCACCGCCGCCCCUACUCUCUCCUCCUCACCUCACCUUCUCUUCCUAUCCCAAGCUGCAGAUCGAACACGCCAUGGCGGCAUUCCCGAUUGGCCACGCUCGCCAGCGCCCUUCCUUGUCUAGGACUUCUUCUCUUGGACGUGGGCCUUCCUCGACUGAUGUGCUCGCCCGCGCGCCCGCACGCCCGCGCCGGGAGAGGAAGGCCACCUGCUCGCCGCCCGUGUGCGCUGCGCCGGGACCGGACCCGCUCGCCCAACGACGCGGUUCCGACCGACGAGACGGAUGGCCGCUUCGACCUUCGUGCUGCUCAAGACCAAGCAUGUGCAGCGUCGAACCCAAUCUAGCCGCAACUGGGUCACCUCGGCGCUCAACGCCUGCCUCCCCGACACAUUCGCCCCGCAGUUGCGCAAGGAGCUUGGCCAGUGCAUCCAGGACACGGGCAUGUGGAGUGACACGCCACCUUCAACUUCUCAUGCGAUCCCACCUUCCUCGUGGACGGACGGCUUCAAGGAAGAUAGACUGGGUUGAAUCUACCUCAGUGUCGUUAACCAACAUAGAUGUUGAUGCUUGUACCCUCCUAUGCCGAAGAAGAUUAGGGUUUCCGACACCAUUGCACCUAUGCUCUGGAGAUGUUUGUCUGACCCGUUGCUGGGACCAGAUUGUUUCCGCUUCCGUCGGCGCAGGAGCGGCUUCCCCUGUGCCUGCGGUGUUUGCUUCUUCUUCGACUAUGGCGUAGGUCUUGAGAAGACUCACAAAAAACAGAGAGGCUGCCCAGAAAAGUUGCCAACAAAAAGAGGCAUUUGGCGGCCGGUCGGUUGGUGCAGGGCUGUAGGUUCAGCCAACUCUCGUCUCCACCGUCACCAGCGACGGCGUGGUUCGGCUUCAGCUACAAACAUUGAAGGUACUCUCUUCUUCCUCCUCUUUUUUCCUCUUCGCACAUGGUCUUUGAGCCACGGCCAUGCUGUAUAGCCCAACCCCUUACUGUGUUCCCAUGUAAUCCUUAUCAGAGGGUUCCAAGCAAGGGACUGUUGAAUCUAGGCAUGUUGUCCAUUCGAAUAAUUGGGUAACAUUUGCUCUAUAUUUUGUGUUUGUCAUCUGGUCUCAACUUGCGAUUUGUUUAUGCUUCGUCAUCUGGUCAUUCGGAUGAUCAGCCUCUCGAGUUUGACCGGUUCCCAACAGACUCGUUCCCUUGAAGCAACAUCAUUCUAUUGUAUCCUGGGUUCGCCCCUCUCUUGUGCCCUUUGAGUUCUCUCUCCCAGGGCACCGGCGGCUCUUACAUACAUGUACAUGUCACACAAAAUCCCAAUAGAUACUCUCUUGGUGUUCUGAGUUUUGACAACCGUGAUGAGCCAAUUUUACAGUUACCGACCUGUAAUGACUCGUGCAGAAAUAAUCGCAUGGUCAAAGAACAUCUAAGGGACUUAUUUGUCUUUGUAUUCUGGAUUUUUGCUGUCAGUAGUUCAGAUAUUGAUGUAUUCAUUUUGAUAUUGCUUUGUUUGUUUAUGUUCUUUGUGUUUUCUGGUUUGAUAUGGCGGUGAUGAAAAUACUUUCAGCAAGCAUGCCAGUACUGCUUCUGAGGAUUCAUGACUGAAUUACUUGUUAUAUUGAUGUGAGCCAUUCCAAUUGCUAAAAGAUGUGUUAUCCCUGUGGCACCACCCAUUCCAGAAUGAUUGACUAUCAUUUUCUCCAAGGUGAGGAGAGUGUUGUAUCAUAUGUUAAGCAAAAUCAUGAGGAAUUUUCUUGCUGGUCUAAUUAUUCUCUGCAUCAAAAAAUCGUGCUCAUUGUAGUUCGCUUCAGUUAUUUCCUUCGGUAAUUGCACUUUACAUUGAUGAAGAAUGUGUCCGAAGUUUGGAUGAAUUACCAUCCCAUGCUGCCGCAGAGCCCAUAUACAGUUGGCAACGGCCUCUACCUAUUUAUUGUUUCUGAUCACCUGCCGUUCAAGUCCAUCUCCAUGGAGGUGAGGUUGUCAUGCUUGAGGCUGUUUACGGCCCAUCCCUGCUUUAUUGUUUUUUUCUGACCAGUGAUAUGCUUGCUUGCUGUACUAUGCUGACAUUGGCUGGUUUGACAACUCUUAACUGAUCAAAACCAUAGUUAUCUGAUUAUUGUUAAGUUUUAAAUAAUUUGUCAUCCCUCGAGAUCUAAUUUUAUAGAAAUUUUUGUGUAUGUUUUUUGAAUCUUUAGGACAUUAUCAUGUGGUGACAUUGGAUGCUUUGUUAAUUUCGAGUAUAAUCAGGUAACAUCGGAUGUUCUCCAAGUUGCUUGUCAUUUGUACUUGCAUGAGCUCCAGUUUGUGCCAACAACAAUUUGAAUGUGUCAGCAGAGUAUGGUGAUCAGACCUGGUUAAUGAAGAAAACAAGUACACGAGUGCAGUUCAUUUCGGAGAUGCAAGUGGUUACUAUGCUUCAUAUUUUUCUAAUGCAUUUUAAAUACAUUACAUAGAUCCUUACCUGACACCAAAUAAACUGGCACAAAUCCAUCUACCAAUGGAAGGAAGAAAACUGGAUUUUAAUGACGGCAUAUCUUAGUUACCAUAAGCUGGGUGACCAAAGCAAUCUUAUGAUGUAUCUCUACAUAUGGCUUUGCUUAGCAUGAACUGAUCUCAUGACUUUCUUUUAGCCUAUGAACCUACCAUCAAUGUAAUAUAUAACACUAUGUAUGAACUAUUUCCUUAUGUUUAAAGAAUAUCGGUCUCUAAAUAUUCCAA